GACGAACGCUGGCGGCAUGCUUUACACAUGCAAGUCGGACGAGUGGCGCACGGGUGAGUAAUAUAUCGGAACGUACCGAGUAAUGGGGGAUAACUAAUCGAAAGAUUAGCUAAUACCGCAUAUUAUUCGAGCCGCCGAUAUCUGAUUAGCUAGUUGGUGGGGUAAAGGCCUACCAAGGCGACGAUCAGUAGCGGGUCUGAGAGGAUGAUCCGCCACACUGGGACGGAGACAGGGCCCAGACGCCUACGGGAGGAAGCAGUGGGGAAUGUUGGACAAUGGGCGCAAGCCUGAUCCAGCCAUGCCGCGUGGCUGAAGAAGGCCUUCGGGUUGUAAAGGACUUUUGUCAGGGAAGCGGUACCUGAAGAAUAAGCACCGGCUAACUACGUGCCAGCAGCCGCGGUAAUAC
rnacentral:rRNA from 1 species